UGCCACCAUGAUGAAAUUUAUUUGCUACUCUUGACUAUGAGGGUGACGAGAAUUCUUACCACCAUUGUUCUAACUGAGGCA
ensembl:snoRNA SNORD24 Small nucleolar RNA SNORD24